rnacentral:rRNA from 1 species
GACGAACGCUGGCGGCGUGCUUAACACAUGCAAGUCGAACGAAAAGAGGGAAAGAGCUUGCUCUUUCCGGAAUUGAGUGGCAAACGGGUGAGUAACACGUAAACAACCUGCCUUCAGGAUGGGGACAACAGACGGAAACGACUGCUAAUACCGAAUAAGUUCCAAGGGCCGCAUGGCCCAUGGAAGAAAAGGUGGCCUCUACCUGUAAGCUAUCGCCUGAAGAGGGGUUUGCGUCUGAUUAGCUGGUUGGAGGGGUAACGGCCCACCAAGGCGACGAUCAGUAGCCGGUCUGAGAGGAUGAACGCCCAAACUGGAACGGAGACACGGUCCAGACUACUACGGGAGGCAGCAGUGGGGAAUCUUCCGCAAUGGGCGAAAGCCUGACGGAGCAACGCCGCGUGAGUGAUGACGGCCUUCGGGUUGUAAAACUCUGUGAUCCGGGACGAAAAGGCAGAGUGCGAAGAACAAACUGCAUUGACGGUACCGGAAAAGCAAGCCACGGCUAACUACGUG